GACGAACGCUGGCGGCGUGCCUAACACAUGCAAGUCGAACGGUCCGGCACUCAACCGACCCUCAGUCUAACUGUAGGGGAAGUUGAGUGCCGGGUAGUGGCGGACGGGUGAGUAACGCGUGGGCAACCAACCCUGUACAGUGGGAUAACACCGGGAAACCGGUGCUAAUACCGCAUGACACCUAUAUGGUGCAUACCGUAUAGGUUAAAGGAUUUAACCGGUACAGGACGGGCCCGCGUCCCAUUAGCUAGUUGGUGAGGUAACGGCCCACCAAGGCGACGAUGGGUAGCCGACCUGAGAGGGUGACCGGCCACACUGGGACUGAGACACGGCCCAGACUCCUACGGGAGGCAGCAGUGGGGAAUAUUGCGCAAUGGGGGGAACCCUGACGCAGCGACGCCGCGUGAGCGACGAAGGCCUUCGGGUCGUAAAGCUCUUUCGGCCGGGAAAAACUCGCAUCAGUUAAUACCUGGUGUGGAUGAUGGUACCGGAAUAAGAAGCACCGGCUAACUACGUGCCAGCAGCCGCGGU
rnacentral:rRNA from 1 species